GGGGCCGUAGGGAGCGGGGCCUUCUUCCCCUUUUCUUUUUCCUUUUUCUCUUUCAUUAUUCCUUUCCUAUUUUACUUUCCUUUGUUCUCUACUUUGUCUUUUCCAAUUUACUUUCUUUUACCUAAUUAGAGUUUAGGUAGGUUGCUAAUAAUUAGGGUUAUGUUAGCCACAUAUCAUUUAGUAGUUAAAUUAGAUUAGUCGAUUAGUUGCUACUUAUUCAAUCAGAUAAGAAGUGAAGCAUAAAUACAAAAAUCCAAAUAAAACCCAAAUCACCAUAUAUAAUUUAUGAUGCAAAUAAAAUAAAUAUGCUUUGUAAGGAUUAACUAGGGUGAACAAUGUGAGGUGUGAACAUUAUAAUAAAGCAAUAAUAAAGGAUGACGUGUCUGAUAGGUUGGUUUGCUACAUGGCACUCAUCAUUACAUGGGAUAUCUUGAAAAAAAUAAAAAUAAAAAUUGUGGUUGUAGUUUUUGUGCCGGGUAAUUUUUAGGGUUGUUACAGUCCUACCCCAUUAUCAGGAUCUCGUCCUCGAGAUUAAAGAGUGACUUACCCGUCAAAGAGGUACGGAUAUUGUAGGCGAAGGUCAGACUCUUGCUCCCACAUUGCCUCACGUUCGGUGUGAUUGCUCCAUUGGACUUUGCACAAGGGAAUGGUCUUGCUUCGGGUUUCUUUAGUGUCAUGGCCCAAGAUCUUGAUGGGAUGCUCCUUGUAUUCCAGUGUGUCCUGGAUAUCAAGCACAUCAAUAGGUACUUCCUCGUCUUCGGGUAGCCUCAAACACUUACGAAGUUGCGACACAUGGAACACGGGAUGUACCCCAGUCAACUCUAGAGGUAGCUCUAGCUUGUAAGCAAGCUUCCCAACAU
rnacentral:lncRNA from 1 species